rnacentral:rRNA from 1 species
GGGCCCGCACAAGCAGCGGAGCAUGUGGUUUAAUUCGAAGCAACGCGAAGAACCUUACCAAGACUUGACAUCCCUUGAAGUUGGUAGAAAUAUCAACGCCCUUCGGGGCAAGGAGACAGGUGGUGCAUGGUUGUCGUCAGCUCGUGUCGUGAGAUGUUGGGUUAAGUCCCGCAACGAGCGCAACCCUUGUUAAUAGUUGCCAGUAUUAAGUUAGGCACUCUAUUGAGACUGCCGUGGACAACACGGAGGAAGGUGGGGACGACGUCAAAUCAUCAUGCCCCUUAUGUCUUGGGCUACACACGUGCUACAAUGGCGGUAACAGAGGGCAGCAAAGCCGUAAGGUGGAGCGAAUCUCAAAAAAACCGUCUCAGUUCGGAUUGUGGGCUGCAACCCGCCCACAUGAAGUUGGAGUUGCUAGUAAUCGCGGAUCAGCAUGCCGCGGUGAAUGCGUUCCCGGGCCUU